rnacentral:rRNA from 1 species
AUUGAACGCUGGCGGAAUGCUUUACACAUGCAAGUCGAGCGGCAGCGCGGGGCGACCUGGCGGCGAGCGGCGAACGGGUGAGUAAUGCAUCGGAACAUGUCCAUUCGUGGGGGAUAGCCCGGCGAAAGCCGGAUUAAUACCGCAUACGCCCUGAGGGGGAAAGUGGGGACCGCAAGGCCUCACGCGAUUGGGUUGGCCGAUGUCCGAUUAGCUAGUUGGCGGGGUAAAGCCCACCAAGGCGAUGAUCGGUAGCUGGUCUGAGAGGAUGAUCAGCCACACUGGGACUGAGACACGGCCCAGACUCCUACGGGAGGCAGCAGUGGGGAAUUUUGGACAAGUGGGGAAACCCUGAUCCAGCCAUUCCGCGUGAGUGAAGAA